UUACCAGUAAAAAAAAAAAAUCAAUAGUCCAGUCCAUCUGACAUUUUUUCUGGAACACAGAAUAAGGUCUCAAUACGAUCAAACAUCUGCGGGAUGUGCUGAAAAAACAAGUCCAAUCUAUGGAGGGCCCACCCUGGAACUCUUAAAAGGACCUGCUGCUAACGUCUUGGUGCCAGAGACCACAGGACACCUUCAGAACUCUUGAGGACUCGAUGCCUCAACAGGCACUGGCUUCAACCCUUCAUCUUCUCGAAUUUCCCCAAAGUCAGGCCAACAUGAUUACUACCGAACUGCGCGCCAAAGAAGCCCGCUUUAAUUGCCUCGUGACGUCACUUCUGGGCGCCGAGUGACUGACGGAGCGCCGCACUCACUUCGAAGACGACGUGACUUCAUGCAGUUCGUAGAGUUGAAAAGCUGAGGCACUUAAAACAAGCUCGUGGUCCAAACUCAGAAGGUAUCCAUUUUAAUUAAUGGAAAAAAUAAAAAGAUUACAAUACAGGAUGAGGAAAUCUUUUCAGCUACAUGACAACAAACAUACCUUCAUGCAUCUUUGCAGGCGAGUGAUGCCCUUAUUUUAAUAAACAGCUCAGCCAGAUUAAAGAAAGCAUUGUCAUCAUCUGCUGCAGAACUUAUCUAACACACAGGUCUGCUGAUGAAGAGUGUCUGGGGAGGCCACUUCUGCAUGGCAUCAAAUCUUAAUCCUGACUCUAUUCAUGUGCAGUUCCUUGCUGGUACAAUGAGCUGCCCACCUCCAUUUGGAAUUCUGGCUCCCUCAAUAUGUUUAAGAAGCAUCUGCAGAGUCUCUUCUUUGGUGAAUUUCUUUCGAUGAUAUUAGCAGGGGGUGCUCCUACAGUAUUAUAAGGGAGAGGAAUUGCCUGGAACAUUCCCCAGGUCAACCAGAAGGAGUGGACAGCCUCUUCCAGUCAGGUAGCCAAGGAGCAGAAUAAAAGACGCUUCUCCCAGUGAGGAAGAGAGAAGCGGACUUGCGACAAAUGCAGGUGUUUUCUUGAAUUGAACUUUGAGGUGGUGCUGUUAUUGAAAUCUGGGUGGAAGAGUGACCCCAUGUGGUUGCAUUGGGUAUUUUUAUAUACGUAUACAGUCAAGUUUGUUAUGGAAGAAGAUGAUCCGCUGUGGCGACCCCUAACGGGAGCAUCCGGAAGAAGAAGCAGCCAAGUUUGUGGUGCCAGAAAUGAAUAUUCCACUCAAAACUAUUUUUUUUUUUUACAUUAUUUAUCCCAUGUGGUGUGUAGUGAUGGCCACAAAACAAUUUUUAAUCUCAUAUUUUCUUGGAGGAAGGACAUCAUGUUUCUGAUAGAAUGGGACUCAAUGGUGACCAACACUGGACAAAAUGAUGCAAAAAAAGUACAUGGGAAAAAAAAAAGCUUUGUUACUCAUGUUGCAUAAUCUACAGAUCUAUUAUCCAGCUGUAUGCUCAAAGCAGAUCCCUCUUUUGCAUAAAUAUUAUUAAAUAGUCCUUGAAUAAACAGCAAAAAUCAAAAAUAGGAAACUAAGAGCAUUUUGGAAAAUUAUUUCUCAUAAUGCUUUUAGUUUCCAGUUUUUGAUUUGAGCUGUAAUUAAGGAAACAACUAACAAUAUUUUAGUAAAAACGCUUGCGUUUUGUAUGUUUUGAGCACAUGACUAGAUGAUGGACAUGUGGGUUAUGAAACACGAGUGAUGUGAGAUUUUUCUUUUCUUUUUCCAUGGACAUUUUUCAUAUUGUUUGCGGUUGUACAGAAUUGGUCAACAUUGGGUUCUAUUAUAUCAAACUUUGUUCUCUUGUUCUACAUGAAAUGAUUAAAAAUUCUUCUUGGCCAUUACUACAAAUUAUGUAAUUUAAAAAACACCACUUUUGAGUGGAGUAAUACUUUAAAAUGCUCAAAGACAAAAUGGCUUAUUUAUGUAGCGCCCCAUGACCCUGAACUCUAAUGAGUGGAUUGAGGAGAUCGCUGGAUAUAUUUGUGAAUGUUAUGAACCUCUGAGUUAGCCAAACUGAACUGUCUUAGUGAAUGAACGUCUGUCACCAUUAUCAUAAUAUUCCAAAACCACUUCGUAAUGCAUGCUCAAUAAAACAUAUUAAUUUAUUCUUUAGAUUUUAUUUAAAGUCGUAACCAGAUGGCCUGAUGUCUCAUCCAGGGAUGUCCUAUGUCUUGCACCAUUUGCAACUUUCCAUAAUUCUCAGCAAGAUAAUUGGUUCAAAAAUAAAUCAGAUGACACAGACCAAGAUUUACUUAAAUACAAACAGAUUUAUUAAUAAAUGUGUUUACUCACAGUGUGCUUAUACAACAGAAAACAAAAAAUCUGUAGGAGCAUUAGAUGUCCUUUAAGAAAAAUAACUUGUGUUUGACAGAAAAAUAAAAAAUAGACAACAAAAGAAAAAUCAAAGGUAAAUGUAUAUUCUGCACAUUUCUGUCAUAACACAGCUUUCUACAGCUUAAAUGUGCAAGCACUUCAAUUAUUUAUACAUUUCAAACUGUCAGGCUGAUUUGUGCAAACAUUUGUCAACUCUGCUUUAGCAUCAGCACGGUUAGUACAAACUGGUGACCAUAUAGUAGCUAUAGAUUUUAUGGGCAAACCUUGAAAUUUUUGGUAAUUAAUUAAUUUUGGUAAUUUUUGAUAAUUCUGCAUUUUUUACCUAUUUAUUUACAGUGCAUAUUAAUUGUGAAUUUUUAAUAACAGUCUGUACUAAUUUAACUGAAUGAAAAAAAAUAUACAAGGAGCUUAAUAGUAUUUACUACCCAGACAGAAAGUUAAAUCCAGAAAAUGAUGCUGCCAAGAAAUGAAAGAAUAGUGAACCUCCAAAAAACAGAGGCGUUUAAAAUCAGCCUGACACAGCUCGCUAUGUGCAGUCAUGUGAUGGUUUAACAGCAAUAGCAAUAAAUAAAAAAUAAAGAGUGCACAAGUCUUAAGAAUCACAUCAGCCCUUCUCAGUGGCUUAGGGGCCAUUUACAAGAACGACAUCAUUCAAUCUGGUAGUCUCAGCCAACAAGUACUGUGGACGCUAUGAGCUUUUGUUACAGUAUUAAAUACUACUAUACUUCUAUCAUAAGAAUGAAGGUACAGUAUUUUACACACAAAUCUGUAUUACAAAAAUAUAGCAUUUCAGGUCAUGUAUUUAAAAUUAAAGCAGAAGUAAAACUGGUUGUUAUUAUUGAAAUCAACACCUAUAAAUGUCAGGACUUUAUAAUUUGUGUUAUACAAUAUGUCUUUUAACAAUCACCAAUUUGUUCAUUGUCAGAACUGAAGUUAACCAGUUGUAUUCUGAUAGACCAUGUGCACUCUUUGAACCGAGGCCAGUGUUCACUCCAAAAGGGACAACACUGACAUGACUUAACCUCAUCCCCCAGCAGAUGGACCUCUACGGCCAGGUCUCCAGGAACAGGUCCCUCCGCUAUCUCCAGUCAACGGGUUAUACCCUAAAAAGAGAAAUACAUAAAACUAACCUUAAACUCCAGUGGAAUGAACAGUGUCUCAUUGUGUUAGUGUUAAUGUUUGUUUAAUUCAUAUACGUAUUUACUUAGUAAGUGGAGGCCUGCCUGCCACCUUGCUAGAAUUCUGUUUUAUCAUAAAAUACGUUCAGAUUGCUUUUGUUUUUGAAAUGCAAGACAAAAGGGCAUACAGAUUUCUGAUACUAUGUAGUCAUGAUGUAACAUAGUAAUAAAGAAAUGUAACAAAGAUAUAGAAGAGUGAAGUAUAGAUGAAAAAACAGUUUUUGUAUGUUUUAUGUUUUUCCCCCAUUUUGCGUGAACGCUUCCUUUAAAUCUUUUGAUGAAAUUCAAAGUUGAUAGUUGGAGUGUGGAACUUCUUGUGCUAUGCCUCUUGGGUUUGGCGCCAUGUGACCCUCAGCUGGAUCAGUGGGAUAGAAAAUUGUGGGGUAUACAGUGAUAUACAGUGAUAAUAAAUUAAAAAAAUUAAACUUUUUAAAUAAAUAAAGAAACCUUAAACCUUAA